UAAGAUCCCCAUUUCUCAAGCAUUGUUGUUACCUUGUGUUCCUCUGCCACUAUAUAGUCAACACUCAACUCAAGCGGUAUUGCUCAGUUCAGUCGAAUUCAAUGGAAUGUCAUGAAGCUUGUUCUCUCCCAACGCCAUUGAGGUACUGUGUACAGAAGAUUGGAGUUUCUUAAGUUAACUGCACACAUGUUUUCAAGUUCAUAUCAAGUGGUUCCAAGCCCCAACAACCAGCAAUGACAUUCCUCCUCCGCCUGAGAAGAAUUCACCCCUUGACAAACCGUUUUCCGUUCAAGCACCGCCUCUUAUCCACCUCUAUCUCGGCAGCAGUGAUCCCAACUCCAGCCAUCACUUCCCUUUCUUUCUCAGAGAUAGAGAUGGAACAUGCUGAGUUUUUCGCCGCGCAGGUCAAAAAGGAACUAGCUUUCACCUCAGAGCGCAUGAGCACUUCUCUGAGAUGCGCCGUGAUCUGACCGGGCUGCCCUAGGAUCUACCCCAAACUGGUGAAGUGGCAGCAGUCAUCGGUUUUCCAGGCAUGGUUUUUACAACUGGCCAUAUCAAUUGUUGAAGAAUUAAUGGGUAUUCUUUUAGUAUGGAAUCUUUUACUCAAACUAUACUCAUCCUCAUCCCUAUUUUUAGGCAGAUAAAAAAAUUAAGAAAGGUCUACAGAAAAGACCUGGAUUAUUGGAAUGGAAGACUUGCGACUGAAGAAACCUUAUAAUAGAAAAUGAAUUGAGCAACUUAGUGCCUGGAUGCUGAAGGAUGCAUGCAUGUAUAAAGCCAAUCAAAUGUAACCUUUUAAUAUUAUUUUUUUGUUCUUUUAUGAGCUUCAAUCUUAAGGUACUCACUAAAGUUAUGACUUAUGAUUAUGAUUAUAUCAAAUUAUUAAAGUUAGUUUGUGGCUUAAGAUUCACUU